UGUGUUUAAUGGAAUUCCACGAAGGUUCUGCACCCUUUAGCUGUGUGUGAACUGAUGACCUGAAAAAUGAAGCUUCAUAUCUUAUUACUGAUCCCUUCAUCACUGCAGGUAAUGAUUGACUAUUUCAUUGCUUAGAAAAUUACACCUUCACUUUAUAAAGCUUUCAGUUGAAUCAUAGUUGUAUUUUUAAUAGUCUGCUAGAGUUAAAACUUCAAAAACUCUCAUUAUUGUAACAACAUGAGGCUCCUGCUGUCCUCUGAACCAUACCUGAAUUUAAUUAAACAAUCAAGGCAAGAAAUAUUUAAGUCACUGAGGGCUGAGCCAGUGAACGUUCGAUAAGCAGUUUAGAUAUGGGAAUUGGCAGCGCCAGCCAUUGCAGGUGGUGAACUUAACUAAGUUAAACUAGAGGCAUCUGACACAAGGCCCUCAGUUGAUCUUCAGUGUCAAGCAAGUAUCAGUGUUGGCAUUUAUUUUUCUUAGAAGUCAAUUAUUACUAUUUCCUUUCCUCAUUCAAAUUGGGUGUAGUUGGAAAAAGAUUUUCUCCAAACAAGAAAAAAAUGUUUUUUCUGGAAAGUCAGAAUCUAGAUGUGAAUAAAGAAAGAAGCUCAGUCGGGCGUCGUGGCUCAUGGCUGUAAACCCAGCACUUUGAAAGGCUGAGGUGGGAGGAUCACUUGAGCCCAGGAGUUCAAGACCAGCCUGGGCAACAUAGUAAGACCCCAUUUCUACAAUAAAUUUAAAAAAUUAGCCAGGCAUGGUGGUGUGCAUCUGUAGUCCCAGCUACUUGGGAGGCUGAGGUGGGAGAAUCGCCUGAGCCCAGGAAGUCGAGGCUGCACUCAGUUGAGAUUGCACCACUGCACUCCAGCCUGGGUGGCAGAAAACACCAAUGAGAUAGCCAAAUGCUUUUGUUAGGAUGUAUCAGAUUAUCACAUGUACCCCCAAAAUAUGUGUAUCUAUUAUGUAUCAAUAAAAAAUGAUAACUUAGAAAUGCUUUUUCUAAGUUGCAAAAGUGUUUGAAGUUUUACAUGCGGGCAUACACUAACUGUAAGGAGA
rnacentral:lncRNA from 1 species